ACACGAUGCACUAUGUUGCUGAAGGCACAUGCCCCAUGGGAUGGUCUGCAGUUCACAUGCUGAAGUCUUACUGUAUGUGCAAGAUUAUUCUCCUGUCAUAUUUUUCAGCUAAUGUCCAAAUGCAAGAAGAUUCAAGAUAUAAAAUUAAACAACAAAUUCAUUUCAAUAAUACUAAAAGGAGCAAAUGAACAGAAAAAAUAUAUAAACCGUUCAUUUCGAAACCAAUAAUUUAAAUCACCAACCAUUUACGGAAAAGCAAAAGAAACAAAAUGAAUGACACCCUCUCCCACAGAGCUCUUUCUCCAGGAUUUGAAAGCUGGCAUAUGCUGUUGUGGAGAAGGAAGUUUGGGCUGCCUCUGACCAUAUCAUGUGCAUCUCAUAGAUAACAGAGGACUUUCAACUCCCUGGCUUCCAAUCUUCCAUCUUUCAUCUGAACCAAAUUCACAAUGAUGAGGAAGAAAGAAAAGCAAUUUAAUUCUCAAUGGUACUUCAUAUAGCUGCUGUAAAACAUCAUUUCUGCUUUAGACCAAGUAAACAGCAAUAACACAGGAACACUUAGAAUUGUCAGUUGGAUGGUAAAAAUGGUGGAAAGAAAGUUUUAAAGAAUAAAUCUGAGUAAUAAGGAAAAAUAUAUACAUGGUACAGUGGGUUUUCAUCACAGAUUCCAAAAACAUCCACGUAUCCUCUGCAAAGAACUUGUUACAGCUCAUUUUCUAUCUGUGUAUGUAACUCCAUCCCUAGAUGAGCAUCUGUCAAGCCUGGAAAGCAUAACAUUUAUAAUAUUGUUUUCAUUCUUGACUGAACACAUAAAAAGCACAAAAUCUAGUUAGAAGAAUGGCAUAUGUGCAUGUGGGUUUUCUCAAAGCCUUUGCCACAGGCUCUCAACACCCUUUUCUAUUAUUUACAGACUAUUGGUAGGUUUGUUCAGAGGGUUAUGAGUGAGAUAAAAUGAAUCAUUGGAAUUUCUCUUCAAGUGGCCCCAGGAAAGGCAUGGAAAUAAAAGGGGUUACCUAACUCUGUGUAAUCCUUACAUUUUCAUUUUUAAGUGUCUCAUUACCAUCAAGCUAGAAGCUGCAGUUUUAGUUUCUGUCAACCUGGAGUUUGGAAUCCCAAAGCCUGACUAGAUAUAUUCCUUGGCACUCCCGGUUAAAGUUCUUCCUCUCUGUGGUGGCUUGAAUUCGAUUUGCUGAGGAGGCUGCUGAAGAUGGUUCACCUUCUCUGGCUCUAGGUGAGAAGAAAUGCGUCCAGGUCACAAAAAGUAAAGGCAAGAAAGGAAAAGGAAAGAAAGCAAAGAGGAAAUGU